UCUCCAAUUUGCCUCUUAAACAUCAGAACAUAUCCGCCCCUUUUCCUUUUUUUCGAUCCUCCUUCUCCGACGGUUUUCUACAGUCUUCUCCGUCUCCCUCCUUUUCUCGCAGAUCCAGUUGUAUUUUCUUAGAUUCUUUCGCAAUUUUGUAUAAGACAAUUAUUUUCGCUGUCUUCUUUUCCUCCUAUUAUGGAUUUCGCUAUUCCUGGGUUCUUUUAUGGAUGUUGUGGGUUACUGACUUCAAUUUGUUUAUACUUGUGCGUAUUUUUUCUUUUAUUCCCUCCAUAGCUCUUAAUCACAGCAGGAGGGAAAUUUAAGUCUUACCCUCCAUUUAGUUUGAUUUUCAGGUAAUGAAUUUCUCCUGCUGGUACCAUCCGAAGUAAGCUCGAUUUUGGGGAAAAAGUAACUUAUCUAUUGAAGUUUCAAUUUUGAGAAAGUUUAUCUGAUAGUGUUGGUGAUUAUUAUCCUCCAGUUCCCUACUUCGUCUUCUUGACUAUCCGAACCAAGUAAACGCCCAGAGUGAUUUGUCCAGGGUGCAAUCAGGUUUGGAGUUUUCAAACCGCUGAUUGGCAAUUUUGAGGUACAAUCCUUUUAAGUAUAGUAAUGGGUGAAAGUUUACAUUGGCUAAUACUGAGAAGUAUUUUGGAGUUACCUUUUGUAGUCAUAAAUUAUGUGAAUUUAGGUAGAUAAAUACUACGUGCAAGCUAUAAAUGUGUUAAUGCCACCAAAUUGGACAAUAUCAGAAGCUUUGCGAAUAAAAUUCCUCGAAAGUUCUGUUCAAGGCCCUGAUGCAGUAGAAGCCAUGAACUAUUUUUAAUAUAUGCAGUCAACCAAUAUAUUUUUCAUCCCCUUAUUUCUGAAUUAAGUUCUGUUGUAUUGAAGUAUGGUCUUGGAAUAUUGUUUAUUUCUCAUGAAUUUGAUUUGAAGUUCGGGAUUAUACUUACAAGAACACUUGUUGCCACUGGUUAAGGAUUAGCCCAUUGCUUAUGAGAUAUUCAGAAAUUUGAAGAAUAAUGUUGAUUUACUGCUAUUUUGGAUAUAUUUAUUUAUUGGUGUUAUGAUUAUGUGGAUGCUCUUUAUUUUGUUCCAUGAGAAAGAUUUCAAGGAUUAAAUGAUUUUCUUGGCUAUAAUUUUAACGUUUGGCCUGAAAAUAUUCCUUUUAUUAGUAGCAUGUCCAAUUUGCUAUUUUUCUAAUCGUCCAUAGGCCUUAUAUACUAUGUUCAACCUUAAAUAAAUAUGACUUCGUAAGGGCUUAAUAGAUAUUGAUGAAUUUAAAAAGCACAAUCCUGUUGUAAUAUUAAAUAGUGAGAUUCUCUUGUCGUGCAUGCUAAAGCACCAGUUUGCAAAUAAAGAUUUAAUCGUCCUUCAUAUUGAUGUUUAGUUUUAUGUGAAAUAAAUUUCGAGUAGAUUUUCUCGGUUCUUUGUGAUACUUAUUUUGAGAUUGAAGACAAGGAUUAUAUUUAGUAUCAACUUAGAAAAUUUUGAGAUUACAUUUUAUUGUCUUACUACAACACCGUGUUCCUUUCUUUUUUUCUUUUUCUUUUAAGGAUAAAGUAAAUGUUAUCUUUUUGUAUUUUAACUUGCUGGAUCUGCCACAAAUUUUUCCUGGCGAUACUCCUGUGGAUCAUGCUGCCCUCAGGCGGGUUCUCAUUGACUAUUCUUUUUGAUAUUCUGAUGUUGGCUACAGCCAGGCAGAUUUAUCCUUCUCGGUUUUAACUAAGGGGCGUUCCAGAUUGGAAAGUAGUUCCGAUGCCAUAAUUUGAGGGCCAAUUAGGGAGUUUGGUCGAGGAAUGCUAAAUGUGCUAUGUUAUAGCGUGUAAGCAGUUCACUCCCUUGACAUCACCAGAUAUAUAACUUCAACGCUCAAUGCUGUGUGGCUCUUUUAUAUGUAAACCAGCUCAGGCCCUAAAGAGAAUGUUGAUACAUGAUUGCGAUGUUUUUGCCAUUUAUCAGCAAGUCCAACUCCUAGCCAUGAAGAAAAGCUUGUGCAUUAAGUAAACUUUGUUCUGGACAUCCAGAGGUGUUCUAAAGGCAAUUGUUGUUGAACUUUGCCUCCAUCGCCUUCUUCACCCAGGAACAAAUUGUUAUUAUUUGAUUUUAGCAGUUAUGCAAAAUUGACACUUCCUAUUUUGCUGUUACAUCAACUAAUGCUGGUACCAGACAUAAUAAAAAUGUCAAGUUUUAUUCUCAGCCAAUGCCAAGAAAUACUGCAUUUCCUGAGGCUCCUGCUAUUGGGAAACUUCCCAGCUAUUCAGACUUUCCAUCAAUGAAUCCCAAGAGUAUUAAGCAAAGGGAUCCAAGGUUCAACUCUUUCAAAACAUGGUCUGGUAAACUUGAGAGCCAAUUAACAAAUUUGCGUGGAAAGAACCUGGAAGCACAGCAAGAGUCGACUACUGCAGAGAGAGAAAAUAUCCCUAUACAUCGAUACUUUGAUGCGUUGGAGGGACCAGAAUUGGACACUCUACGGGUAAUGUGUUUCUGUAGAAGAGCUUGGCUCAUGACUAGCAUCUUGUGGAGUAGAUCAAGAAAUAGAAGAUGAAGGCAAUGAAGAUGUGGACCUUACUUA